AAGGAUCAUUAUUAAAGUUAUCAGGGGGUCGCCAGACACUCCUGGAGGCGUGAUGGUCAAGUACUCCUAGGGUAGUUCCGGGACUACCCCAUCCGUCUUAUGUUAUACCCCAUGCGUACCUACAGUUAAGCUGGCUUUGGCGGCCAUACCCGUCAGGGGGACCUAAAACUCGAUGUAUCGUUGAUCUCGGAGUGAUUCAUAAUAACUAAAACUUUCAACAACGGAUCUCUUGGUUCUGGCAUCGAUGAAGAACGCAGCGAAAUGCGAUAAGUAAUGUGAAUUGCAGAAUUCAGUGAAUCAUCGAAUCUUUGAACGCACAUUGCGCCCUCUGGACACUCCGGAGGGCAUGCCUGUUCGAGCGUCAUUUCAACCUUCAAGCCAGGCUUGAUGUUGGGCGUCGUCCCCUGGGCGUGCCUAAAACUCAUCCACGGGCCAGGCGAUUUUCAGCGCACUAGACAAAACCUUUCGCUUGGAAAAUCAUUUGGCAUCCGUUUUCCACCUCACGAUUGACCUCGGAUCAGGUAGGGAUACCCGCUGAACUUAA
rnacentral:rRNA from 1 species